CGAAAGUUACGCUAAUACCGCAUACGAUCUACGGAUGAAAGCGGGGGACUCGCAAGAGCCUCGCGCGAUUGGAGCGGCCGAUAUCAGAUUAGGUAGUUGGUGGGGUAAAGGCUCACCAAGCCAACGAUCUGUAGCUGGUCCUGAGAGGACGACCAGCCACACUGGAACUGAGACACGGUCCAGACUCCUACGGGAGGCAGCAGUGGGGAAUUUUGGACAAUGGACGCAAGUCUGAUCCAGCCAUUCCGCGUGCAGGAUGAAGGCCCUCGGGUUGUAAACUGCUUUUGUACGGAACGAAAAGGUUUCUAUUAAUACUAGGAGCUCAUGACGGUACCGUAAGAAUAAGCACCGGCUAACUACGUG
rnacentral:rRNA from 1 species